rnacentral:misc_RNA from 1 species
UUUCCGUAGGUGAACCUGCGGAAGGAUCAUUGUCGAAACCUGCCCAGCAGAACGACCCGCGAACUUGUAUAAACAACUGGGGGCGGGGGGCGUUCUCGCCCCGUGCCCCCGAACGGCGGGGAGACACUCGUGCCUUCUUGCCGAACAACGAACCCCGGCGCGGUCUGCGCCAAGGAACUUUAACUAAAGAGUGCCUCCGGUCGCCUCGGAAACGGCGUGCGUGCCGGAGGCGAAUCUUGUGCAAAACCAUAACGACUCUCGGCAACGGAUAUCUCGGCUCUC